UACGAAGGGGGCUAGCGUUGCUCGGAUUUACUGGGCGUAAAGGGAGCGUAGGCGGGCUCUUAAGUUGGAUGUUUAAAACCGGGGCCUAACCCCGGCGUGGCAUCCAAAACUGGAGGUAUUCUAAUGGGACAGAGGCCAGUGGAAUUAGAGGUGUAGCGGUGGAAUGCGUAGAUAUCUCUAAGAACACCAGUUGCGAAGGCGGCUGGCUGGGUCCACAUUGACGCUGAGGCUCGAAAGCGUGGGGAGCAAACAGG
rnacentral:rRNA from 1 species